AGCUUCUUCCGGCUAGCUGGGGGACGCCGAGGCUGCGGAGUGCACGCCUGGGCUCCGUCAGAGGGCCGCGCCCGCGCGACGACCGCGUGCCCGCUAGUGGGAGGCGGGCGAGGACCCCUGGGGGUGUCCCUCCCUGACCCAGGCGGGAGGAGGGGACGCCUUAGGCUGUUUUGUAAAAUGUGUCGGUGUGACCCUUCCGGCGAUGGCUCCUGACUCGACGUGGUAUUGAGCCUGAGCUAUAUGCUAGUUUCUGCUGGAAACGCUGACUCUGCCUCUUAGCCCCUGGGUUGAAGCCGACUAGAGAAUCUCAGACGUGCUUAACCGUUUAGGGUCAGGCACACUGAUUUUAUGCCUGUAAUCCCAGCACUUCGGGAGACGGAAGCAGACAGAUUGCUUGAGCUCAGGAGUUUCAGACCAACCUGGACAACAUGGCAACAACUCGUCUAAAAAAAUAUUAGCUGGGUGUGGUGGCAUGCGCCUGUGUUCCUAGCUACUCAGGAGGCUGAGGUGAGAGGAUCACCUGAGCCCAGGGAGGUUGAGAAUGCAGUGAGCUAUGAUCUCACCACUGUACUCCAUCCUGGGUGACAAAAUGAGACCCUGUCUUUAAAAAAAAAAAAAAAAGUUUAAAACUGCUUAUUAAUGUUACAUGCUAAGACCUUCUUUACUGGAAUUCUCAUGUAGAAUCCUUUGAAUAAUAUAAUAGGCUCUCAUCUACAGCUGAGCUAGAUGGAUUAUUGGAAAAUCUGUGUACUCCCCUGCACAGUUCAUGAUAACUCCAUCACUGGGAUAAUACACUGGAGAACUUAAUUACUCCAAAAGAAAAUAAGCAGUGGGUGAGAGCUAACCAUGUAAGAAUACCCUUCACUAAUCUAGCAGCUUCCUAUACAUAGCAGUUCUGCUUACCCUGUCUGACCACUAAUUCCCAUCCGUUCAGCUCUUGUGCAUUAAUAUUCCCCCACCAUCUAUUUACUUUGAUCCCCAGCAAGACCUCAAAUCCAUUGGCCCUUCUUACUUUCUUAAUAUCAGUCAUUUCCCUAGCCUACUCGUUUCCAUCAAAACCCAACCUAAAGCCCAUGGUCCAACUUUACAAUCUUCCCUUUGCAAAUAUGCUUAACUUCUUCACCUUUC
rnacentral:lncRNA from 1 species